GUGGCCUUGAGCCGUGGCUUUCGGAGCUAACGCGUUAAGUAGACCGCCUGGGGAGUACGGUCGCAAGAUUAAAACUCAAAUGAAUUGACGGGGGCCCGCACAAGCGGUGGAGCAUGUGGUUUAAUUCGAUGCAACGCGAAGAACCUUACCUACUCUUGACAUCCAGAGAACUUUCCAGAGAUGGAUUGGUGCCUUCGGGAACUCUGAGACAGGUGCUGCAUGGCUGUCGUCAGCUCGUGUCGUGAGA
rnacentral:rRNA from 3 species